rnacentral:tRNA from 1 species
GCUCAGUGGUAGAGUGCUUGCCUUGCAUGCAUGAGGCCCUGGGUUCGAUUCCCCAG